rnacentral:tRNA from 1 species
GCCCCCGUAGCCCAAUAGGCAGAGGCAGGCGGCUUAAACCCGCUCCAGUGUGGGUUCGAGUCCCACCGGGGGUA